rnacentral:tRNA from 2 species
UAGAAAAUAAUAUAGUGGAAGUAUGAGGAGUUUUGAUCUCUUCUGUGCAGGUUCGAGUCCUGCUUUUCUAA